UCGAAAAAUACUUUUCAAUAUUGAUUUAAAAAUAAAUGAAGGAUUGAAAAGAUACAAUGUAAACACACUUGUUAUUGUCACUUAAUAUGUACUUCUGAAAUUACUCGUGCGCCACAAUUUCAUACCAUCUAUAUAGGUCUGACGAACAGCUCACCUUCUGAUGUUGACAUUUUGAAUUUGCAUAUGUCGUUAAGGGUGAAGGUGAAAAGUAUCGAAUAAUCGCGCACGUUUUGUUGAUCACGAAUGCGAUCAUCAAGAGACGAUAUUAAAAGAGAAAUCAAGGAAGAUGAAGGAAAUUCAGUUGGAAAAUCCUGAAAAUGGAUCACCGCAGUUUUUGUGAUAGGCUUCUGUCAAACGAGCUUUUCCAUCAUUUCGUGUACACGUAUGAUGUAGACUGUGUGAAGUUGGUUGUACUGAACUAUACAUAUAACGAAGCACAAAGAAUUCAAGCGUACGUCACCGCGUGUAUCGAUGCCACUUAUUGCAUUUUUUCGUUUGUGUACGUCGCUGGCCACGUACACAAAUAAGAUGGUAACGUGCGUGACGUAUAACCUGUGCCAUGCGUACACAGUAACAGUAUAUACCUUGCUAAUUGACCGGAAUUCUGUCUUCUUAACUGACCGUUGCUAUCCCCACAUUUUUUCGAAGUAAUAUCUAUGAAGUGGAAUUCUAGCUUUUCAGACUUUAAAAGCUUGAUAUCUGAAAUCAAAUAUCAUUGUUUUACUAUCUCUUUAUACAUGCAGGUAGAAUUUUUAGUAUGGUCUUUUUCUUAUUAAUUAAUAUUCUUUUGUUUGUGUACGUCGCUGGCCACGUACACAACAAGAUUGUAUCGUGCGUGAUAGACGUGAUGUAUAGCAAUACUUUGCUAAUUGGCCGGAAUUCUGUCUUUUUAACUGGCCGUUACUAUCCCCACAUUUUUUUGAAGUAUCUCUGCGAAGUGAAAUUCCAGCUUUUCUCAAAACUCUUAAAAUCUAAGUAUCUGAAAUCAGAUAUUACUAUUUCAUUAUCUUGUUCAUCUUGCCAGUUUUUUUUGGUAUAGACUUCACAGAUAAUAACUCGCUUUCACUAGUUUUUAUUCAAUGCCGUGGUAAUUAUGAUUAUUGAAUUCUUAUUUAUUACAUUAUCAACGUAAUUUUUUACACGGUUCGCGUAUGUCCUAUGUAUCACCAUUUAAUUCUAAAAUUGCAAUACAAUAUUUUAUGUAAAUAGUUA